AACGAACGCUGGCGGCAGGCCUAACACAUGCAAGUCGAGCGAGGACUUCGGUCCUAGCGGCGGACGGGUGAGUAACGCGUGGGAACGUGCCCUUUGCUUCGGAAUAGCCCUGGGAAACUGGGAGUAAUACCGGAUGAGCCCUUUGGGGGAAAGAUUUAUCGGCGAAGGAUCGGCCCGCGUUGGAUUAGGUAGUUGGUGGGGUAAUGGCCUACCAAGCCGACGAUCCAUAGCUGGUUUGAGAGGAUGAUCAGCCACACUGGGACUGAGACACGGCCCAGACUCCUACGAGAGGCAGCAGUGGGGAAUCUUAGACAAUGGGGGAAACCCUGAUCUAGCCAUGCCGCGUGAGCGAUGAAGGCCUUAGGGUUGUAAAGCUCUUUCAGCUGGGAAGAUAAUGACGGUACCAGCAGAAGAAGCCCCGGCUAACUCCGU
rnacentral:rRNA from 1 species